rnacentral:rRNA from 1 species
AUGGCGGAGCCCUGCAAGAUUUCUGCUGCCAUUGUAGCCGAGUCCGAGGAGAGGUCAAGGUCAUAUGCCUUCAAGAUAGAUGGAUACUCAAGAACCAAGCGGCUGAUCAAGGACCACGAGAGCGUGACAUCUCCCCCUUUCUGCGUCGGAGGUCACGACUGGAUCCUUUCGUACGUCCCCAAAAAUGGAGUUCUAGUAUCCGUCUACCUGGUUCUCGAUUCCGCUGGCGCAAAAGACGUGAAGGCAAAGGUCAGGUUCUCUUUACUCGACAAGGACGGCGUCCCGGUGCCGUCGUGCAGCCACACCAUCCCUGAACAUGUCUUCCCAGGCAAAGGAUCAGCCUGGGGAGUCGUCAAUUUCGUUAAGCCAGAGGAUCUGGAGCGAUCGCCGCACCUGAUAGAUGACUGCUUCACCAUCCGUUGCGACGUCACGGUCAUGAAGGAGUUCAAGGGCCAACAAAAUGGCUGGUUCGUCAAGGUCCCUCCGAGCGACUUGCACCGGCAUCUCGGCGACUUUCUGAAGAGCGGGGAUGGAACGGACGUGACCUUCCAAGUCGACGGCAAGACCUUCUCGGCCCAUCGGUCCGUGCUCGCUGCUCGGUCGCCUGUGUUCAAGGCGCAGCUCUUCGGCGCCAUGAAGGAGAGUUCUGAUGAUCUGAUUAUGGUCGAUGACAUGGAAGCCGACGUCUUCGGACCCUUGCUCCAUUUCAUAUACACGGACUCGCUGCCGCAGAUGACCCGUGAGGGAGACGAUGCGGUGGCAGCUAGCCAUCUUCUUGUAGCGGCGGACAGGUACGACGUCCAGAGGCUGAAGCUCAUCUGCGAGGAGAAACUGUGCAGCCACAUUGACACCGACACUGUGGCGACCAGCUUGGUUCUGGCUGAGCAACAUAGCUGCCAUGGGCUCAAGGAAGCAUGUCUACAGUUCCUUGCUUCUCCGGCCAAAUUGGAGGCGAUGAAAGCAAGCGAUGGCUACGUGCAUCUCAAAAGCAGUUGCCCGUCUGUUCUCAAGGAGUUGAUCGCUAGACUCCUGCCCGUUGAACUGAAAGCGGCCAAGGACAUUGUCAUGGAAAUUUAG